rnacentral:rRNA from 1 species
GACGAACGCUGGCGGCGUGCUUAACACAUGCAAGUCGAACGGUGAAGCGAGUGCUUGCACUCGUGGAUCAGUGGCGAACGGGUGAGUAACACGUGAGUAACCUGCCCAUCACUCUGGGAUAAGCACUGGAAACGGUGUCUAAUACUGGAUACGACCAACCCUUGCAUGGGGUGUUGGUGGAAAGAUUUAUCGGUGAUGGAUGGACUCGCGGCCUAUCAGCUUGUUGGCGGGGUAAUGGCCCACCAAGGCGACGACGGGUAGCCGGCCUGAGAGGGUGACCGGCCAGAGGGGGAUAGAAACACGCCCGAGACUACCGCGGGGGGCAGAGGGGGGGAUUGUGGGAGAUGGGCCGAAGGCCGGAGACAGCGGCGCGGGGGGGGGGAGGAGGGCGUGCGGGUUGAAAACCUCUUCCGGCAGGGAAGAAGCGAAAGAGCGGGUGCGGGAAGAGGAGGCACCGGCUAGCUACGUC